UGUUGCACGGCUCUUUGCAACAAGCAAGUUUCCCCAGAAAAUGGUUAACCACAUCCACUCUAACUUGAGCCAUGACCACAACCAUCAUAACCCUAACCUCAUUCUAUCCAUAACUAUCCCAGAAACAAGCCGUCUACUCCACAUCCACUCUACCUUUGAGACAUGAUCACAACCAUCUUAAUCCUGACCUCUUCCAAGACCACUUCCAUCCUAACCCAUCCAUUGACCACAUCCAUCGUAAUCCCAUCCAUAACCAUACCUUUGUCUCCCACAACCACUCUACCUAGACCAUGACCCCAACAAUGAACUCAAUGACCUACUUAAGGCAAUUCAACGUAAUAAAAUUAAAGUUAAUAUUUUGCAUCUACCAUCCUUGACCACAUAUAUCUGACCACAAAACAAUUGUGUUACCCUCCUUAAUUUACCGAACGAUUGAGUUUAACAUAUUUUAAUUUCAUGGUUUCAAACAAAUCUCACUACUCAAUAAACUUACCAAUUAAUUGUAACAGAAAAAACUAACUAGUGUUUAAUUUUUGUUUGACCAGAUUUUAACUCUCAUUCCAAGAG
rnacentral:lncRNA from 1 species